rnacentral:rRNA from 1 species
AUGCACUACGACAUGCUGCUCCGGCGCAUGGAGGACGGCAUGAGCAACCAGGUCCCAGCGGGCGGCGGCGACGACAGGGACGCCUUCACCAUCGUCCGCCUGCCGCACCACGUCCGGGAGAUGAACAGAAGCCUCUACGAGCCGGUCAUGGUCUCGGUCGGGCCCUACCACAUGUCCAGCGCCAGCACCCGCGCCAUGCAGGCCCGCAAGUGGCUCACGCUCAGGGACUUCCUCCUCCGCGGGGACCCGGACGGCAGGGCCGGCCUCCUCGCCGACUGCAUCAAGGCGGCGCGCAGGAUGGAGCAGCGGGCGCGCCGCUGCUACGGCGAGGCGCUGGACCAGGCCGCCGGCGGCGGGAGCGACGACUUCGUGGGGAUGCUGGUGCUCGACGGCUGCUUCGUGCUCCAGUUCCUGCUCCAGUGGAGCGAGAGCGACGCCCGGUGCAUGCAGGGCACCUCCACCUACGUCUACUACGACCUGCUCCUCGUCGAGAACCAGAUGCCCUACUUCGUCCUCGCCAAGCUCUUCAACCUCGUCAUGGGGAAUGGCAACGCAGGGGACGAUGCGGACCAGGGGCUUCUUCACCUCAUAUCCAACUUCUUCAGCCUGCGCGAGCCUCUGGGCAUGGUCCCGCUCCCGCCGCCGGCGCCGGAGCUGGCGGGCCAGUUCGCCGAAGUCUACCACCUGCUCCACCUCCAGUACCAGAGGAUCGUCAUGAGCCCGGAGCGGCGCAGGAUUCGCCGGCUCACGAGGCUGGGCGAGAGCCUCAGCUCGUUCAGGCGCACACGGGCUAACCAGGCCAGGACGCCGCUGGCGAUGCCGUGCGUGACCGUGCUCCAGGAGUUCGGCGUCACGUUCAAGGAGAAGCCCUCGCCGGCGAGCCAGUUCGACGUGACCUUCCGCGGCGGCACCAUGGAGAUCCCGCGCCUGGUCAUCAACGGCGGCACUAAAAUCCUCCUGGCCAACCUGUUCGCGCUGGAGCAGACCAAGGACUGCUGGAACGAGGGGACCAUGACGGGGUACCUCGUGCUGAUGAACGCGCUGGUGAACACGGGCGCGGACGUGGCCGUGCUCCAGCGCCACGGCAUCCUGGACAACAUGCUCUCCAACGAGGAAGAGGCGGCCGCCUUCUUCAACCAGCUCGGCGGCAGCGCGCUCUUCGACCCCAGGACGCACCGCUACGCGCGGCUGUUCAAGGACACCAACGAUUUCUGCGACUCUCGCUGGAACCGGUACAUGGCCGUGCUCAAGCGCGACCACCUACGGACCCCGUGCUCCAUCAUCAACCUCCUCGUGGCGGCCAUCCUGCUCUUCGUCUCGGUCAUUUCUGCUGGCUAUGUGAUUUGCCGCUACCGCCAUUCCUGCACCUGA